UUAACGGGUGUAGUCUUUAGUGCACGUUAAUAUUUAUAGUCGUGACUAGAGUUACACUCGUCAAAU
rfam:Acyrthosiphon pisum strain LSR1 Contig39138, whole genome shotgun sequence.